rnacentral:rRNA from 1 species
CCUACGGGUGGCAGCAGUGAGGAAUCUUGGGCAAUGGACGAGAGUCUGAACCAGCCAAGUAGCGUGAAGGAUGACUGCCCUAUGGGUUGUAAACUUCUUUUAUAAAGGAAUAAAACGGGGCACGUGUGCCUUUUUGCAUUUACUUUAUGUAUAAGGAUCGGCUAACGACAUGCCAGCAGCCGCGGUAAUACGGAGGUUCCGAGCUUUAUCCGGAUUUGUUGGGUUUAAAGGGAGCGUAGAGGGGUUGUUAAGUCAGUUGUGAAAGUUUGCGGCUCAACCGUAAAAUUGCAAUUGAUACUGGCAGUCUUGAGUACAGUUGAGGUAGGCGGAAUUCGUGGUGUAGCGGUGAAAUGCUCAGAUAUAACGAAGAACCCCGAUUGCGAAGGCAGCUUACUAAACUGUGACUGACAUUGAUGUGCGAAAGUGUGGGUAUCAAACAGGAUUAGAUACCCCUGUAGUC